rnacentral:rRNA from 1 species
UACGUAGGGUGCGAGCGUUAAUCGGAAUUACUGGGCGUAAAGCGAGCGCAGGCGGUUUUGUAAGCCAGAUGUGAAAUCCCCGGGCUUAACCUGGGAAUGGCAUUUGGGACUGCAAGGCUUGAGUGCGGCAGAGGAGACUGGAAUUCCUGGUGUAGCAGUGAAAUGCGUAGAUAUCAGGAGGAACACCGAUGGCGAAGGCAGGUCUCUGGGCUGACACUGACGCUCAUGCACGAAAGCGUGGGGAGCAAACAGG